rnacentral:rRNA from 1 species
AAUGGCUCAUUAUAUAAGUUAUCGUUUAUUUGAUAGUACCUUACUACUUGGAUAACCGUGGUAAUUCUAGAGCUAAUACAUGCUGAAAAUCCCGACUUCGGAAGGGAUGUAUUUAUUAGAUUAAAAACCAAUGCCCUCUGGGCUCUCUGGUGAUUCAUAAUAACUUCUCGAAUCGCAUGGCCUUGCGCCGGCGAUGGUUCAUUCAAAUUUCUUCCCUAUCAACUUUCGAUGUUUGGGUAGUGGCCAAACAUGGUUGCAACGGGUAACGGAGGGUUAGGGCUCGACCCCGGAGAAGGAGCCUGAGAAACGGCUACUACAUCCAAGGAAGGCAGCAGGCGCGCAAAUUACCCAAUCCCGAUUCGGGGAGGUAGUGACAAUAAAUACUGAUACAGGGCUCUUUUGGGUCUUGUAAUUGGAAUGAGUACAAUUUAAAUCCCUUAACGAGGAACAAUUGGAGGGCAAGUCUGGUGCCAGCAGCCGCGGUAAUUCCAGCUCCAAUAGCGUAUAUUAAAGUUGUUGUGGUUAAAAAGCUCGUAGUUGAACCUUGGGCCUGGCUGGCCGGUCCGCCUCACCGCGUGUACUGGUCCGGCCGGGUCUUUCCCUCUGUGGAACCCCAUGCCCUUCACUGGGUGUGGCGGGGAAACAGGACUUUUACUUUGAAAAAAUUAGAGUGCUCCAGGCAGGCCUAUGCUCGAAUACAUUAGCAUGGAAUAAUGAAAUAGGACGUGCGGUUCUAUUUUGUUGGUUUCUAGGACCGCCGUAAUGAUUAAUAGGGACAGUCGGGGGCAUCAGUAUUCAAUUGUCAGAGGUGAAAUUCUUGGAUUUAUUGAAGACUAACUACUGCGAAAGCAUUUGCCAAGGAUGUUUUCAUUAAUCAGGAACGAAAGUUAGGGGAUCGAAGACGAUCAGAUACCGUCGUAGUCUUAACCAUAAACUAUGCCGACUAGGGAUCGGACGAUGUUAUUUUUGACUCGUUCGGCACCUUACGAGAAAUCAAAGUGC